rnacentral:rRNA from 1 species
CCAAGUCUACGAUCUUUAGGGGCUCUGAGAGGAGAAUCCCCCACACUGGCACUGAGAUACGGGCCAGACUCCUACGGGAGGCAGCAGUAGGGAAUAUUGGGCAAUGGGCGGAAGCCUGACCCAGCCACGCCGCGUGCAGGAAGACGGCCCUCUGGGUUGUAAACUGCUUUUGAUUGGGAAGAAAGCAGCUCAUGCGUGAGAAUUUGACGGUACCAAUCGAAUAAGCCACGGCUAACUACGUGCCAGCAGCCGCGGUAAUACGUAGGUGGCGAGCGUUAUCCGGAUUUAUUGGGUUUAAAGGGAGCGUAGGCGGCUGAUUAAGUCAGCGGUGAAAGGUAGCAGCUUAACUGUUUUACAUGCCGUUGAUACUGGUUAGCUUGAGUUGACAGAAGGCAGAUAGAAUUCCUGGUGUAGCGGUGAAAUGCUUAGAUACCAGGAGGAAUACCGAUUGCGAAGGCAGUCUGCUGCAGUCACACUGACGCUGAGGCUCGAAGGUGCGGGGAUCAAACAGGAUUAGAUACCCUGGUAGUCCGCACAGUAAACGAUGAUUACUAGAUGUUGGCUUAAGUCAGUGUCCAAGGGAAACCGAUAAGUAAUCCACC